CGAAAAAUAAAACAUCCAAUAUACCAAAGCAAAAUCAAAAUUAAACAAACUUUGUUUUUUUCUGUUUGUUCGAGUGCCACAAAUUUUGAACAUCGUUUUGUCGAAAAAAAUAAAUAGAAAACAAAAAACGGCAACAAAUAUCUAAGCUAAUAAGAACAGCUGUGAGAGAACCGCCCCCACUUUCUCGCCCCCCGCCACCCACAAAAUUUAGCGUCCUCUUCUGUUUUCGUUUCGCUUUUUUCGCCCGUGUUUUUGUGGGCUUUUC